rnacentral:rRNA from 1 species
UACGUAGGGUGCGAGCGUUAAUCGGAAUUACUGGGCGUAAAGCGUGCGCAGGCGGUUCUCCAAGUCCGUUGUGAAAGCCCCGGGCUCAACCUGGGAAUGGCAGUGGAAACUAGGGGACUGGAAUCUGGCAGAGGGGGGUGGAAUGCCGCGUGUAGCAGUGAAAUGCGUAGAGAUGCGGCGGAACACCGAUGGCGAAGGCAGCCCCCUGGGCUGAGAUUGACGCUGAAGCACGAAAGCGUGGGGAGCGAACGGG